rnacentral:piRNA from 1 species
UGUGUCAGCGGUCUUUCUGAAGGAC